CAUGGGCGCAGCCUGAUGCAGCGACGCCGCGUGCGGGAUGACGGCCUUCGGGUUGUAAACCGCUUUUGACUGGGAGCAAGCCCUUCGGGGUGAGUGUACCUUUCGAAUAAGCACCGGCUAACUACGUGCCAGCAGCCGCGGUAAUACGUAGGGUGCAAGCGUUAUCCGGAAUUAUUGGGCGUAAAGGGCUCGUAGGCGGUUCGUCGCGUCCGGUGUGAAAGUCCAUCGCUUAACGGUGGAUCCGCGCCGGGUACGGGCGGGCUUGAGUGCGGUAGGGGAGACUGGAAUUCCCGGUGUAACGGUGGAAUGUGUAGAUAUCGGGAAGAACACCAAUGGCGAAGGCAGGUCUCUGGGCCGUCACUGACGCUGAGGAGCGAAAGCGUGGGGAGCGAACAGGAUUAGAUACCCUGGUAGUCCAAGGGCGAAUUC
rnacentral:rRNA from 1 species